AGCAGAAUUUCUAGGUCAUAUGGUCAGUCUGUUUAACUUUUUGGAGAAUUGCCAAGCUGUUUUCCAAAGUUGCUAUACCAUUUUACAUUCCCACCAGAGUU
rnacentral:pre_miRNA from 1 species